UUUAGUGGCGGACGGGUGAGUAACACGUGAGCAACCUACCUUCGAGAGGGGAAUAACGGCUGGAAACGGUCGCUAAUACCGCAUAACAUACUGGAGGGACAUCCCUUUGGUAUCAAAGAUUAUAUCGCUCGGAGAUGGGCUCGCGUCCGAUUAGGUAGUUGGUGAGGUAACGGCCCACCAAGCCGACGAUCGGUAGCCGGACUGAGAGGUUGAACGGCCACAUUGGGACUGAGACACGGCCCAGACUCCUACGGAAGGCAGCAG
rnacentral:rRNA from 1 species